rnacentral:rRNA from 1 species
CGGUGUUCAACUGGCGUGUCCGCGGGACGUCCUGCCGGUGGGCUUAGCCCGCAAGGGCGGCCCAACUUCAAAUCCCAUCGCGGUGCUCUUCACUGAGUGUCGAGGUGGGCCGGCACGUUUACUUUGAACAAAUUAGAGUGCUUAAAGCAGGCUAAAACUUCGCCUGAAUACUGUGUGCAUGGAAUAAUGGAAUAGGACCUCGGUUCUAUUUUGUUGGUUUUCGGAACCCCGAGGUAAUGAUUAAUAGGAACGGAUGGGGGCAUUCGUAUUGCGGCGUUAGAGGUGAAAUUCUUGGAUCGUCGCAAGACGGACAGAAGCGAAAGCAUUUGCCAAAAACGCUUUCAUUGAUCAAGAACGAAAGUUAGAGGUUCGAAGGCGAUCAGAUACCGCCCUAGUUCUAACCAUAAACGAUGCCAGCUAGCGAUCCGUCGACGUUCCUCCGAUGACUCGACGGGCAGCUUCCGGGAAACCAAAGCUUUUGGGUUCCGGGGGAAGUAUGGUUGCAAAGCUGAAACUUAAAGGAAUUGACGGAAGGGCACCACCAGGAGUGGAGCCUGCGGCUUAAUUUGACUCAACACGGGAAACCUCACCAGGCCCGGACACCGGAAGGAUUGACAGAUUGAGAGCUCUUUCUUGAUUCGGUGGGUGGUGGUGCAUGGCCGUUCUUAGUUGGUGGAGCGAUUUGUCUGGUUAAUUCCGAUAACGAACGAGACUCUAGCCUGCUAACUAGGCGUAUUUUCGACAUCUCAAAGGUCCGUCGUCCCGGCCCUCGGGUCGUGGGCGUGCGCGAUUUUUACUGUCGGCGUACUAUCAAUUCUUCUUAGAGGGACAGGUGGCUUCUAGCCGCACGAGAUUGAGCAAUAACAGGUCUGUGAUG